rnacentral:rRNA from 1 species
UUAAGGCUAGGGGGUCAUCCCGACUUACCAACCCUUUGCAAACUCCGAAUACCAAUGAGUGAUAUGCGGGAGACACACUACGGGUGCUAACGUCCGUUGUGAAGAGGGAAACAACCCAGACCGCCAGCUAAGGUCCCAAAGUACUAGUUAAGUGGGAAACGAUGUGGAAAGGCAUAGACAGCUAGGAGGUUGGCUUAGAAGCAGCCAUCCUUUAAAGAAAGCGUAAUAGCUCACUAGUCGAGUCGGUCUGCGCGGAAGAUGUAACGGGGCUAAACUAGUCACCGAAGCUGCGGAUUUGAACUUAGGUUCAAGUGGUAGGGGAGCGUUCUGUAAGCCGUUGAAGGUGUGUUGUAAAGCAUGCUGGAGGUAUCAGAAGUGCGAAUGCUGACAUGAGUAACGAUAAGGGGAGUGAAAAACUCCCCCGCCGAAAGACCAAGGUUUCCUGUCCCAUGUUAAUCAGGGCAGGGUAAGUCGGCCCCUAAGGCGAGGCGGAAACGCGUAGUCGAUGGGAAACAGAUUAAUAUUUCUGUACUUCUAUAUAUUGCGAAGGAGGGACGGAGUAGGCUAGGUGAGCACGGCGUUGGUAGUCCGUGUGAAAGAUUGUAGGCUGGAAACUUAGGUAAAUCCGGGUUUCCUUAAGGCUGAGAGUCGAGACGAGAUUCUACGGAAUUGAAGUCAUUGAUGCCAUGCUUCCAGGAAAAGCUUCUAAGCUUCAGAUAUAUAGGAACCGUACCCCAAACCGACACAGGUGGUUAGGUAGAGAAUACUAAGGCGCUUGAGAGAACUCGGGUGAAGGAACUAGGCAAAAUAGUACCGUAACUUCGGGAGAAGGUACGCUACUCAUGGUGAUGGAACUUGCUUCCUAAGCUAAGAGUAGUCGAAGUAACCAGGUGGCUGGAACUGUUUAUUAAAAACACAGCACUGUGCAAAAUCGAAAGAUGACGUAUACGGUGUGACGCCUGCCCGGUGCCGGAAGGUUAAUUGAUUGGGUUAGCUCUGCGAAGCUCAUGAUCGAAGCCCCGGUAAACGGCGGCCGUAACUAUAACGGUCCUAAGGUAGCGAAAUUCCUUGUCGGGUAAGUUCCG